CUGGGCCCUAAUUUCCAGUCGCUAUUUGCCAUUGUCGCGACUGUUCCAUCAACGUCUCCAUUUUCAGCGCCGCUUGUUUGCGAUUGCAGCCUGCUCUAAUACAGUAACUUUAGGGCAAGAUGAGAUAUCCGAUUCAGUGUCCAUCCAUCAAUCCACUCAGGGUAGACAUUGAUUUCACUCUUGUCCGAGGAUUGGAUCAUAACAUGUUGCUUGUUCAUGGGGUAUCUCUCAGAUGUGUACGUACACGGAAACACUAUGCGACGUGGCGUACUAUUCCAUGCAUCUUAUGCCAUGAACACAAGAACUAACCUGGAAGUAAUCUACCAUCCUAGGAUGUGUGCUUCUGCUUUUAUAGUUCCCUAUGAUAAGGUCAUGGAAGCACUUAACGUUAAUUAUUCUCCCGGAAUGUGUUUUGAAAUGCUUGUUGAUGAAGGAGAAGACCCUGAACAUAUACGGAAUAAGUUGUUACUUCUUGCUUUUAGAUUUGAGUAGAGAUGGCAAUAGCGUGGAUGGUGCCAUAGUCACUGAUUAAAGCUUUGAGACUAUGUUUUCUCAAAAUUAAAGUUUAUUCUAUUGAGAUUUUGCUUUCUUACCUAUACGAAAGGUAUGUCUGGAAAGCAGAAUCAAAAUGCAAGCAAAAGGAAGAGAUCCAAGACUAUUACGAAGAUGAUGAUACACCAUCCUGGUCGA